UUUUCUUAUUCCAUGAGUUCAUUCAAAUGUAAAGAUUAUAAAUGCCUCAAUCAGAUAGCAUAGUAUAUUAUUUAUGCUCGAAAGCAUGUCUGGAGCUAUAAUCUAAUAAAUAAUGUUUUGAAAAGCAUUAUUUUCAAACUAUGAAUUGGUGUUAUUAGAGGAAUAUUAAUUCUUCCUUCCAAAUUUAAAUAAUCAGUUGAAUUUCUAUCUUUACAAAAAAAGCCUAUACUAUAUUAAAUUUUGCAUUAUUUCAGAAGUGAAAUAGAAACGCAUUUAAUAGUAAAUGAUAAGUAGCUCAAAAAUUAUUUCAGUUAACUCGUUAGAAUUAAGAUAUAAACUUUUUUAAAUUUAUUUUUCUUUAUUAAUACAUUAGUAUAAACAUUUAUAUAUCAAAAUUUCAAAAAAAUAAUUCACUAGGGGAGACCAGGGCUAGUCGGCGCAAGGGGCUUAUACAUCCGAUUUUAUUUAAAACCAGAAAGUUUCAGAUUGAUAUGUAAGACGUAAAUAUAUGUUAAAAUCAUAUUAGUAAUACUACUACCAUUGGUAUAUCGUGGCUUGUCGGCGAAAUCAAUCAAUUUUUAUAAUUUUCAGAGAUUUGACAGGCCGGGCUGUACAAAUAGUACCUCUGUAGGGAAAUUUUUACCAUAAAGGAUUAUGAAGAAACAAUAAAAUUGUAUGAAAAUGAUAUGUCAUCAAGAAAAGUAACAUUUAUUACAGGUUA